rnacentral:rRNA from 1 species
UACGAAACCUCCACAAUGCACGCAAGUGCGAUGGGGUUACCUCGAGUGCCGUCUGAAGAAGGCGGCUUUUCCACUGUGUAAUGAGCCGUGGGAAUAAGGGGGGGGCAAGACUGGUGUCAGCCGCCGCGGUAACACCAGCCCCCCGAGUUGUGGGGAUGCUUAUUUGGUCUAAAGCGUCCGUAGCCGGCCCGGUAAAUCUCUCGGUUAAUCCAGCGUCCUAAGCGUUGGGCUGCGAGGGAGACUGCCAUGCUAGAGGGUGGG